rnacentral:misc_RNA from 1 species
CUCAGUGUUGAUCUUGAUGGUCUCAAGCAACAAGUGCUUGACGCUAUCAUAAGCUUCUAUAACAGCACAGCGCCUGUACUCGUUCUUGCAUAUCUUAUACCAGAGCCACUUAUCAGGAGCAUCUACCAACUCUUUGGCCUGGCUAAGAGCAAGUAGCAGCUCGUUACAAAGGAGAAAACAUGGCCAGCGAAUAACUCUCACAUUCCAAGAAUUUUGUGGCAGGUCCAAUAAUUCCAGCGCCCCAUCAGAGAUAAUAUCCUCUUCCCUGAAGG